rnacentral:rRNA from 1 species
UUACCAAUGCCGCCUGCCUUUACCAUGCAAGUCGAACGGCAGCGCGGGGGCAACCCUGGCGGCGAGUGGCGAACGGGUGAGUAAUGUAUCGGAACGUAUCCUGUAAUGGGGGAUAACCAGUCGAAAGAUUGGGUAAUACCGCAUACGCACGAGAGUGGAAAGUGGAGGAUCGCAAGACUUCACGUUAUAGGAGCGGCCGAUAUCUGAUUAGCUAGUUGGUGGGGUAAAGGCCUACCAAGGCGACGAUCAGUAGCAGGUCUGAGAGGAUGAUCUGCCACACUGGGACUGAGACACGGCCCAGACUCCUACGGGAGGCAGCAGUGGGGAAUUUUGGACAAUGGGCGAAAGCCUGAUCCAGCCAUGCCGCGUGCAGGAAGAAGGCCUUCGGGUUGUAAACUGCUUUAGUCCGGGAAAAAGGGGUGCGGGAUUAAUACUCUCGUGCUUUGAUGGUACUGGAAGAAUAAGCACCGGCUAACUACGUGCCAGCAGCCGCGGUAAUACGUAGGGUGCGAGCGUUAAUCGGAAUUACUGGGCGUAAAGCGUGCGCAGGCGGUCUUGUAAGACAGUCGUGAAAUCCCUGGGCUUAACCUAGGAACUGCGAUUGUGACUGCAAGGCUAGAGUGUGUCAGAGGGGGGUGGAAUUCCACGUGUAGCAGUGAAAUGCGUAGAGAUGUGGAGGAACACCGAUGGCGAAGGCAGCCCCCUGGGAUAACACUGACGCUCAUGCACGAAAGCGUGGGGAGCAAACAGGAUUAGAUACCCUGGUAGUCCACGCCCUAAACGAUGUCGACUGGUUGUUGGGUGGGUAACCACUUAGUAACGAAGCUAACGCGUGAAGUCGACCGCCUGGGGAGUACGGUCGCAAGAUUAAAACUCAAAGGAAUUGACGGGGACCCGCACAAGCGGUGGAUGAUGUGGUUUAAUUCGAUGCAACGCGAAAAACCUUACCUACACUUGAA